GAUGAACGCUAGCUACAGGCUUAACACAUGCAAGUCGAGGGGCAGCAUUUCGCUAGCAAUAGUGAAGAUGGCGACCGGCGCACGGGUGAGUAACACGUAUCCAACCUGCCGAUAACUCGGGGAUAGCCUUUCGAAAGAAAGAUUAAUAUCCGAUGGUAUAUUAAGAUCGCAUGGUUUUACUAUUAAAGAAUUUCGGUUAUCGAUGGGGAUGCGUUCCAUUAGUUUGUUGGCGGGGUAACGGCCCACCAAGACUACGAUGGAUAGGGGUUCUGAGAGGAAGGUCCCCCACAUUGGAACUGAGACACGGUCCAAACUCCUACGGGAGGCAGCAGUGAGGAAUGUUGGUCAAUGGGCGAGAGCCUGAACCAGCCAAGUAGCGUGAGGGAUGAAGGCUCUAUGGGUCGUAAACCCCUUUUAUAUGGGAAUAAAGUUUUCCACGUGUGGAAUUUUGUAUGUACCAUAUGAAUAAGGAUCGGCUAACUCCGUGCCAGCAGCCGCGGUAAUACGGAGGAUCCGAGCGUUAUCCGGAUUUAUUGGGUUUAAAGGGAGCGUAGGUGGAUUGUUAAGUCAGUUGUGAAAGUUUUGCGGCUCCACCGUAAAAUUGCAGUUGAAACUGGCAGUCUUGAGUACAGUAGAGGUGGGCGGAAUUCGUGGUGUAGCGGUGAAAUGCUUAGAUAUCACGAAGAACUCCGAUUGCGAAGGCAGCUCACUAGACUGCAACUGACACUGAGGCUCGAAAGUGUGGGUAUCAAACAGGAUUAGAUACCCUGGUAGUCCACACAGUAAACGAUGAAUACUCGCUGUUUGCGAUAUACAGCAAGCGGCCAAGCGAAAGCAUUAAGUAUUCCACCUGGGGAGUACGCCGGCAACGGUGAAACUCAAAGGAAUUGACGGGGGCCCGCACAAGCGGAGGAACAUGUGGUUUAAUUCGAUGAUACGCGAGGAACCUUACCCGGGCUUAAAUUGCAACAGAAUAUAUUGGAAACAGUAUAGCCGUAAGGCUGUUGUGAAGGUGCUGCAUGGUUGUCGUCAGCUCGUGCCGUGAGGUGUCGGCUUAAGUGCCAUAACGAGCGCAACCCUUAUCUUUAGUUACUAACAGGUGAUGCUGAGGACUCUAGAGAGACUGCCGUCGUAAGAUGUGAGGAAGGUGGGGAUGACGUCAAAUCAGCACGGCCCUUACGUCCGGGGCUACACACGUGUUACAAUGGGGGGUACAGAAGGCAGCUACCUGGCGACAGGAUGCUAAUCCCAAAAACCUCUCUCAGUUCGGAUCGAAGUCUGCAACCCGACUUCGUGAAGCUGGAUUCGCUAGUAAUCGCGCAUCAGCCAUGGCGCGGUGAAUACGUUCCCGGGCCUUGUACACACCGCCCGUCAAGCCAUGAAAGCCGGGGGUACCUGAAGUACGUAACCGCAAGGAGCGUCCUAGGGUAAAACUAAUAAUUGGGGCUAA
rnacentral:rRNA from 1 species